ensembl:snoRNA
AGGCACUGUUGAUGGCUUGUUAGUCUGGCUGUAGCUAUCAGGCUCCAUUCCAGUACUACAGCAGCUCCAGUGGCAUAGGACUGACUGACUCAUGGCUCUCAGUUUCAGGUCCUGGGGACACAA